CGACCAUGGUGAAUCAGUGAUACUAACCACCCGAAUGCCUCCAUGUGUCAUCUUUGAUGAUGUGUGGUUGUGGUUUGCGUGGGACCUGAUCUGGUAGUAGCUAAGUGAU
rnacentral:rRNA from 1 species